rnacentral:rRNA from 1 species
UACGAAGGGGGCUAGCGUUGCUCGGAUUGACUGGGCGUAAAGGGCGCGCAGGCGGCUGCUCAAGUCAGGCGUGAAAGGCCUGGGCUCAACCCGGGAAUUGCGCUUGAGACUGGGCUGGCUUGAGUGCGGGAGAGGAUGGUGGAAUUCCCAGUGUAGAGGUGAAAUUCGUAGAUAUUGGGAAGAACACCGGUGGCGAAGGCGGCCAUCUGGACCGCAACUGACGCUGAGGCGCGAAAAGCGUGGGGAGCAAACAGGG